rnacentral:rRNA from 1 species
UUGGAAUUUUGGACAAUGGACGAAAGUCUGAUCCAGCGACGCCGCGUGGACGAUGAAGGCCUUCGGGUUGUAAAGUCCUUUUGCUCGGGAACAAUUUUUGAGCGUACCGAGAGAAUAAGAGGUUGCUAACUCUGUGCCAGCAGCAGCGGUAAUACAGAGACCUCAAGCGUUAUCCGGAAUCAUUGGGCGUAAAGCGUACCGAUAGGUGGUUUUACAAGUCAGAAGUGAAAUCUCUCAGCUUAACUGGGAGACUGUCUUUUGAAACUGUAAAACUAGAGGGGCAAAGAGGAAGCUGGAACGAACGGUGUAGUAGUGAAAUGCGUUGAUAUCGUUCGGAACACCAAUAGCGUAGGCAGGCUUCUGGGUGCCACCUGACACUGCUAGGACGAAAGCGUGGGGAGCGAAUG